rnacentral:lncRNA from 1 species
CAAUGUUUUUUAGCCUGUAAGUCAAACAUGCAGAAGCUCGAAACUUCCCUAAUUACAGUAACAAUUGAGCUCUUUCUCCAUUUGCAGUUUGAUACUAUGCUGGAACUUAGAAGCAUGCCUCAUGCAGUGUGUGCACCUUUUCCACUUGGCAUAUGCCUGGUUGGCUUCUCAGAGAGAGCAGUGUACUUCCUCCUCACCCACGGAAUGCUGUGCUGCUACCUUCGAUGCCAUCCUCAAACCCUUCUCUGAACAUGAACCCCGCAUUUCCUCAUAGACUUCUCAGGCCCUGUGAUAUUGGGGAUUACUCUGUAAAUGCAGCAGCUCCAGAAGGCAGAGGACACUCUACUCAGGUCUGUUGACACUGUCCUAUUCAAGCAGAUGGAAAAUAUGAUGGCUGUGACAGAAAGGACAAGCUUCUUUCAAGUCUUUUUUUUCCAACAAGGUAAGAAUGAGAAAUCAUUUCAAAUAAAGUCUUUGUUUGUUUGUUUGUUUGUUUGUUUGUUUUUAAUCUUUGAGAUGUGGGGGUGGAGGCAACCAUGAUUGUCCUCAGUUGUGUUUAAAAUGCAUGAAUAAUUUUGGCUGAUUUUUUUAAGUCAGUCUAGGACAUAAUUAUGACUUAGGAAGGCUUUAUACGAUAUCCUUGCAUUUUUGAGAAAUGUUAAAUGAUUACAUAAUUGUAGUCUAAGUAAUACAAAAUCUGAAGAGUUCUAGCAUAAGAGGGUGUUGUUACCUGUGCUUAAUCCCAAUGCUUUUGAAGGAGCCACAAUUCAGUCUAAUGGAAUACUCUCAUUUGCAUGUUCAUCACCUUUUAUAAUAUGUCAUUUAAUGUGUUUAAUAUUUUCUAUGCUACAAUAACAUUAAUUAUACAGUAAUGUUGAUAUAAAACUUGUUUCUGUGAUGUUACAAAAUUUCCUGUGUCAUGCAGUUUUGUUGAUAGCCAUUGCCCAGAUAAAAUGUACUGCACUACUGCAGUCCUCAGAUCUGUCUUCAUUCCUGUGUGUGACAUGCAGUCACGGUCUGUCGUGUGCCAGGAGCUAUGUGUGAUGUAUCAAGGAACAUGAUGGGAAGGAGCCACAGCACUGUGCCAGAGCUGGGACCUGUGCUGCCCCGCAACGGUCUGUUAGGAAGAGAAUUUGCUAGUAUGUUAUCUUGGCUCCUGUCUGGCCACAUCCAGAGGGAGCUAGUUUGUCAGUCACUGUUGUUAAGUCAGGAAGCCAAGUAAGAAAUAGAUGGUUAGAAGUUGAAAGAAUAACAAAAGAAGACUUCCUUGCCAAAAAGACAGAGCUCUGAGCAUUUACAGAAAAUUAAGCUUUAUAGAUAAAUUAUAAUUAAUGGUAUUUCAUUUAUUUGAAGGGACAUCAUCAAUAUCAUUGUCAUUACAUUAUAGCACAGUUAUUUUGAAAGAAUGUCUUACAACUUUCUUUAGGUAUGCUUUCAGUUCUUGCAUAGACUUCAAUUUACUAAUAACAUUUUUGGCAUUAACCUGAUGUUAUUUUACUUAAAUACAUAAAUUCUUAUAUAGUGCAAUUAAAAAUAUUUUCCUUAGUGCUUAAGCAUAAUUUUAAAAUCUGAAACUGCAUAUUAUCACGUUAAAAUCUGCAAUGCAGAAAAAAUUCUAGUAUUGACAAUAACAGAAUAAAAAGACAUGAGAAAGAGGGAAAUGCA